ACCCCCUUGUGGGGUACUCGAGUGGCGAACGGGUGAGUAACACGUGAGUAACCUACCCUUGACUUUGGGAUAACUUCAGGAAACUGGGGCUAAUACCGGAUAGGAGCUCCUGCUGCAUGGUGGGGGUUGGAAAGUUUCGGCGGUUGGGGAUGGACUCGCGGCUUAUCAGCUUGUUGGUGGGGUAGUGGCUCACCAAGGCUUUGACGGGUAGCCGGCCUGAGAGGGUGACCGGCCACAUUGGGACUGAGAUACGGCCCGG
rnacentral:rRNA from 1 species